GGUGGCCUAGUGGCUAAAGCGUUGGCCUCGGAUACGAGAGGUCGUAGGUUCGAACCCGGUCAAGUCA